GACAGAGGGUGCAACCGUUGCUCGGAAUUACUGGGCGUAAAGCGCGUGUAGGCUGACCGGAAAGUCGGGCGUGAAAGCCCUGGGCUCAACCCAGGAACUGCACUCGAAACUCCCGGUCUAGAGUGGUGGAGAGGGAAGUGGAAUUCCUGGUGUAGAGGUGAAAUUCGUAGAUAUCAGGAGGAACACCAGUGGCGAAGGCGGCUUCCUGGACACCAACUGACGCUGAGACGCGAAAGCGUGGGGAGCAAACAGG
rnacentral:rRNA from 1 species